AGAUAGAGGCGCGGCCAACAUCAGUAGGCAUGGUCAGGGACCCGGCUCCCCGCGAGCCAUGCUGAAAGGGACGGCCGCCGAAGGGCCCCACGUGCCGGAACGGGCGGGCUCUGGUCGCCGGGUUAACAGCCCCGUGACUGUCACCAGGUAGGCUUCCUGGUGGAGCGCUGUCUG
rnacentral:ncRNA from 1 species